rnacentral:tRNA from 1 species
GCCGUGAUUGUAUAGUGGUAAGUACAUUGCGUUGUUGCCGCAAUAACCCAGGUUCGAAUCCUGGUCACGGCA